rnacentral:lncRNA from 1 species
AUCAUACUUGUAGACAUGGCCAUUCUUUGUAAGCAGUUUAAGUCCAUGGCCCAGAGCAACACGGCGCCAGAUACCUUCUGUUAACUCCCCAGCCUGGAUGUUGUCCACUUUGCCUGUCUUGCUAUUCUUGAAGAUGAUGCCCUGACGGCUCAACCUCAGUCGACCAUCAUUCAUGGAACCUUUCACCUCCUGAUAGACGUCGUUGAACUCCAGUGUCUCUGCCAUGUCGACCCCUGCCUGUGGUGGCCUGGGCAGAGCCCCAGGCUGCACAAGGGAAACCAAGUAAACUGGGAGCUGGGCCCCAACUCCUGAGUGGGUGUGCGGAUGCUCAGCAGGUUGGGAAUCUGAAUUCAAGAGGAAGACAGAUAAGCAUGAAAGACAGCACCUCGCUGUGCUCACGGAUGGAGCCAGGUAGCAACUCCCAGCUGCGCCUGGAUGUCUCAGGAUUUCCUCUGCCUGGAAACCUACAGACGGAC